GGCAUGGGGGGCAGCUACCAUGCAGUCGAGCGGUAGCACGGGGAGCUUGCUCCUGGGUGACGAGCGGCGGACGGGUGAGUAAUGUCUGGGGAUCUGCCUGAUGGAGGGGGAUAACUACUGGAAACGGUAGCUAAUACCGCAUAACGUCGCAAGACCAAAGAGGGGGACCUUCGGGCCUCUUGCCAUCAGAUGAACCCAGAUGGGAUUAGCUAGUAGGUGGGGUAAUGGCUCACCUAGGCGACGAUCCCUAGCUGGUCUGAGAGGAUGACCAGCCACACUGGAACUGAGACACGGUCCAGACUCCUACGGGAGGCAGCAGUGGGGAAUAUUGCACAAUGGGCGCAAGCCUGAUGCAGCCAUGCCGCGUGUAUGAAGAAGGCCUUCGGGUUGUAAAGUACUUUCAGCGAGGAGGAAGGCAUUAAGGUUAAUAACCUUAGCGAUUGACGUUACUCGCAGAAGAAGCACCGGCUAACUCCGUGCCAGCAGCCGCGGUAAUACGGAGGGUGCAAGCGUUAAUCGGAAUUACUGGGCGUAAAGCGCACGCAGGCGGUUUGUUAAGUCGGAUGUGAAAUCCCCGGGCUCAACCUGGGAACUGCAUUCGAAACUGGCAAGCUUGAGUCUUGUAGAGGGGGGUAGAAUUCCAGGUGUAGCGGUGAAAUGCGUAGAGAUCUGGAGGAAUACCGGUGGCGAAGGCGGCCCCCUGGACAAAGACUGACGCUCAGGUGCGAAAGCGUGGGGAGCAAACAGGAUUAGAUACCCUGGUAGUCCACGCCGUAAACGAUGUCGACUUGGAGGUUGUGCCCUUGAGGCGUGGCUUCCGGAGCUAACGCGUUAAGUCGACCGCCUGGGGAGUACGGCCGCAAGGUUAAAACUCAAAUGAAUUGACGGGGGCCCGCACAAGCGGUGGAGCAUGUGGUUUAAUUCGAUGCAACGCGAAGAACCUUACCUACUCUUGACAUCCAGAGAACUUUCCAGAGAUGGAUUGAUGCCUUCGGGAACUCUGAGACAGGUGCUGCAUGGCUGUCGUU
rnacentral:rRNA from 1 species